rnacentral:misc_RNA from 1 species
AGUGGUUUGCGGGGAAUUUGGCAUCUGGUGGCGCAGCUGGUGCUUCAUCCCUUCUAUUUGUUUAUUCCUUGGAUUAUGCUCGAACACGGUUGGCCAAUGAUGCAAAGGCAGCUAAAAAGGGCGGUGAGAGGCAGUUUAAUGGUUUGGUUGAUGUUUACAGGAAAACCAUUAAAUCAGAUGGUAUUGCUGGUCUAUAUCGUGGAUUUAACAUAUCUUGUGUUGGAAU